rnacentral:rRNA from 1 species
CCUACGGGGUGCAGCAGUGAGGAAUAUUGGUCAAUGGGCGUAAGCCUGAACCAGCCAAGUCGCGUGAGGGAUGAAGGUUCUAUGGAUCGUAAACCUCUUUUAUAAGGGAAUAAAGUGUGGGACGUGUCCUGUUUUGUAUGUACCUUAUGAAUAAGGAUCGGCUAACUCCGUGCCAGCAGCCGCGGUAAUACGGAGGAUCCGAGCGUUAUCCGGAUUUAUUGGGUUUAAAGGGUGCGUAGGCGGCCUUUUAAGUCAGCGGUGAAAGUCUGUGGCUCAACCAUAGAAUUGCCGUUGAAACUGAGAGGCUUGAGUAUGUUUGAGGCAGGCGGAAUGCGUGGUGUAGCGGUGAAAUGCUUAGAUAUCACGCAGAACCCCGAGUGCGAAGGCAGCCUGCCAAGCCAUGACUGACGCUGAUGCACGAAAGCGUGGGGAUCAAACAGGAUUAGAUACCCCUGUAGUC